rnacentral:lncRNA from 1 species
GAGCAGCCCGGUCAGAGCAGAGACAUGCCCUUUCAGAGCAGAACAUUAAAGUCAUGGCGGAGCAUUGAAAUCCCGACAGAGGAUUGAAAUCCCGGUAGAGCAUUGAAAUCCCGACAGAGGAUUGAAAUCCCGGUAGAGCAUUGAAAUCCCGACAGAGGAUUGAAAUCCCGGCAGAGCAUUGAAAUCCCGACAGAGGAUUGAAAUCCCGGUAGAGCAUUGAAAUCACGGACGGUGGCUGAGCAUUGAGAUCACGGACGGUGGCUGAGCAUUGGGAUCACGGACGGUGGCUGAGCAUUGAGAUCACGGACGGUGGCUGAGCAUUGGGAUCACUGCAGAGCAGUGAAAUCACAGUAGGGCAGUGAAAUCACGGCAAAGCAGUGAAAUCAUGGUAGAGCAGUGAAAUCACGGCAGAGCGGUGAAAUCACAGUAGAGCAGUGAAAUCACGGCAGAGCAGUGAAAUCACGGUGGAGUAUUCCUCAGCUGCUUCCCUCCUUUGUAUGCAUUCCUUUGCUGCUUCCCUCCUUUGCUGCUUCCCAUCCAAGCUUGAACACUCUGCGCGGAGCAUGGAAGACCCGGGGGGUGCAACCAACUUUCGCGGCUUACGAUUGAAGACACCCUGCACGGAGCAUGGAAAACCCGGGGGGUGUGACCAACUUUCGUGGCUUACGGUUAAAGCAACCUCUGCGCGGAGCAUGGAAAACCCGGGGGUGCAACCAACUUUCGCGGCUUAUGAUUAAGUGCUAUCUCUGCGCGGAGCAUGGAGGGCCCGGGUGGCACAACCAACUUUCGCGGCUUACGAUUGUCAGCAACCUCUGCGCGGAGCAUGGAGGGCCCGGAUGGCACAACCAACUUUCGCGGCUUACGAUUGUCAGGGACCUCUGCGCGGA